UGGUUUUUAAGCUUAAAAGGAGCGUCCUUGAAAUUCUCCUUGCAAUUGUUCGGGGAUCCGGAGCAGACUAUGUUCCAGGUCAGUGAGUGGCAGGUGUGCUUCAAGGCUUGAUUCGAUAAUACGUGAGUUGUCUGGAAGACAAUUUAAGAAGUCCUGGACGUUGCUUUAACUACAAGAAAAAAAAUAAAAGUUGUCACCAGGAACCUGUCAUUCUGGCCUCACUGAUUCCUGGGUUGGAUGUCGUCUACUGUCACUCAGAAAGAAGGCUCUCUGGGCUCAGCCUGCAGGGCGGGUCUGCAGCCCGGUGCAGCGGAGAGCACUUGGGGAGAACCGUCCAAUCCCGACUCAGCCAGCGAGGACAAGGGCGGCUUCCGUGAUCUGGCCGGGCCCUUUCCUUCUGAACCGCCCUUCUCGCUAUCUGGCUCUAGGCUUCUGUCUCCAGUCCUGGGGUCCCGCUGGCUUUGUCCUGCAGGUGCUGGAGAUCCCUGGUGGCCGCCUGACUCCCGAGCGCAAGGAAAUGGUGAGUGUGGCGGGGCCUCUUGAGCCCGGGGAGGGAGGUCGUUGGAACCGCGGGACUGGCUACGGUGGGGCCAGGAGCUGCUGGGGACUCCGGGGUCCGCGGCCUGAGCCCUCCUCCUGGCAGUGUCCCCUCAGGCCCCUGGCCAGCCAGGUGGGGAGCGUGUUGGCAGCAGAGCUCCUGCCCAGCCUGCUGCACCCGCUCAGCUAGCCCUAGAGAGUCAGCAGCCCGGUCUUCCCAGGUGGGUGGUGAUUGACAGGCGGGAUGGCGGUUGGAGAAGUCUCUCCACGUGGGAUUUUCCUGCAGGAGAGGAGCAGUGGCUCUGGGCUUCCCUGCCGCCGUCUUCCUAAGCUAGCUGGCUUUCUUGCUUUUUCUCCCUCCUUCCCAACCUUCCUUCCGCAGGGUGCUUUACCAGGAGCUCCAUCCCUGGUUCUGAUGUAGGGCGGAGGGGGCGGCACCUGAGGAAUUCGCGGGCAGCAGGUUUACUUAAAGUUGCAGCCGUCCAGAUGGAGCAACGCGGGGACCCUGGUAGGGAACUUCUCUGAGAUUUAUAGUCAGUGCGUGGUUACAGGGCAGCUACUUUUUUUUCCCCAUAAUUUUAGGAUAUAGAGAGGUUUCACAGGUUAUUAUUUUACCAAGGAAAACAAAAGUAAUAACAUGUACAGCAAGCUCUCUUGAGACAGAGUUUGUUACAUUUGUCUCCAAACUGGCCUUUUAUAAGAAAGAGAAAGUUCAAACCACAGUGAGCGCUCUGGGGGAAAAAAAAUCCUGCUGACAUUCUUUGUAAUGAUCUUGCUGACAAGAAGAGAAGCUUACUGUUGAUAGUGGUUCUUUGGGGGCGACAUCAGAAUUUUUUAUUUUGAGAAAAGUUGCUGAGACUGGCCUAGAUAUGUUUGGAUUUACAAAGACUGUUCUAUUGAAUUUAAGAAUAUAAUUUUCAGCCAGGCACAUGGUGCACACCUAUACUCCCAGCGGCUCAGGAGGAUAAGGCAGGAGGAUCAGGAGUUAAAAGCCACCCUCAGAAACUUAAUGAGGCCCUAAGCAACUCUGUGAGACCCUGUUUCUAAAUAAAAGAGGCUGGGGAUGUGGCUCUGUAGUUAAGUGCCCUGGGUUUAAACCCCAGUACAACAAGAAAAAAAGAAUACAAUUAUAUGGAUUCUUCUAUGGAUUUUUAAAUGUUGUAAUUCCUUGAUCAUUAUGAUAGUAUUAUUGUUUCAUAAUAUACACUAUCUCAUAAUGAUAGCUACUCCUUUUGCUUUAAUAAUUUAAAAGUUUCUUGGCUAAAUGAACAUAUAUUUAACUUAUGGAUAAAUUUUAGAAACUUAUUCUUUGGUUCCUUAUUCCAUUACAAAUAAAGCAUGCUGAAUAUUUUUAUUAGUGCAUUAUAUUCAUACAUAAUGUUGGGGUUCAUUUGACAUAAUCAUAGAAGCAUGGGUAUAAUUUGCUCCAUUUUAGUGGUACUUCCCCUUUCCCUCUCCUCCUAGCUCCUCAUUCCCCAUCCUCUCCUGGUCUUCCUUCUGUUUAUUUAUAGUUUUAAACUACUGGUUUAUAGACAAACAUAAUGGUGAAAUUUACUGUGAUAUAUUCAUAUAUGUUCAGAGCAGUUUUGAUGGGAUAAUAUAGAUAAGUGUGGAGAAAAUGGUCAUUGUUGUAAUGAUGACUUUUGUCACUGGUACAUGGUGUGUGUAAUUGAGUCUUUUAUGGACUUUGGUAUAUUUUAGUUUCUCAUAAAUCCUACACAUUUCUCUUAACAAACAUGUUCCCAUGUGAGAUACAACAUUUAUGUGAAUCUGUAUGAAACUCACGUGGUGUUGGGCUUGGUCGCCCUGAGUCUGCUACAACAGUCUGUAAUCCCAGUGGCUCAGGAGGCUGAGGCAGGAGCAUCCUGAGAUCCAUCAACCUCAGCAACUUAGCAAGGCCCUAAGCAACUCAGUGAGACCCUGUGUCUAAAAAAAAAAAAAAAAAAGAUGGGAAUGUGGCUCAGAAGUUAAGUGGCCAUGAGUUCAAUCCCUGGUACCAAAAACAAACAAACAAACCAAAAACCCAAAACAAAACAAACAAAAAGUCUCAUGGUGUAAAUUUGUGUGUGUCAAAAUGACUUUCCCCCAUGUAGACUUUGUCACUGGGUUCUCAUCCCUCUCGCUGAUAUUUUCCUGGUCCUGUGUUUCAGAACUGCUUGAUGUGGGAUCCCACAGUUGGCCUAAAUUCUCCUGGAGUGUCUCAUGAACAUCAGUACCUGGGUCUUAUCCUGUUAGAGAGCUGAUGAAUUUAGGGGUGUAGUCUCUCAGGAGUAGCUGAGUGUCCUGCAGGUGAGAGGAAUCUCCUGGUGUACCCUUUAUCUAAAAAGCACUUAUUUCCUUAUCUUGGCUACUGUGUAUACUGCCAAGUGAAGAUAAGUAUGAAGUCAUUUAUUAACAGAGGGAUUCCAGUUCCUUUGGCUGUAUACCCAGAAUUAUUUUCACUGCAUCAUAUAGUAGUUCUAUAUUUAGUUUUGAAACAACUUUCAUGCUAUUUAUAAAAAAUAUUCUGUACCAAAUUUAUAUGUUACCAACCAUGUAAAAGAGGUUCUUUCUUCCAUUUCCAUAAGAUCAGAGCCCUCAUUACCUUUUCAGAUUUGCUUAGGCUGCACAAGAUCUUAAAUUUGACUGGUGCACUAAAUUCCUGUUGCAAGCUUGCUAGAAUUCAAGCUGCCCAGUAGCCACUGGGAAAAGGAGCCGUGAACCUCUUCUAGAAAUAAAGGGAAUAAGCAGAGAUUGUAGGUGGGCAUGGAGGUGCAUGCCUGUAAUCCCAUCAUCUGGAGAGGCAAAAGCAGGAGGAUUGCAAGUUCAAAGCCAGACUCAGCCACUUAGCAAGCACUUAGCAAGGCGCUAAGCUGCUAAACAUGACUCUGUACCCCCCUCCCCCCGCAAAAAAAAAAAAAAAAAAAAAGAGUAAUAAAAGGGCCGGGGAUGUGAUGCAGUUGUAAUAUGCCCAAGGGUUCAAUCCCUGGUACAAAAUAACAACCGUAACACACAAGCAAAACUGGGAUCUGUGGUUUUUAACUACUUUUCUUCACUUCUUGUGGGGACUGUAGCACACAGAAGUGCUUGCACACCAAUGUGAAGCUCCUCCUCUGUGAUCUGGGGAGAUACACAUAUGCACAAUUGCCAUUUCUCCUAGGGUUUGGGGAUGCAGUCUGUUGAGUGGAAUGAGUUACAGUUGGG
rnacentral:lncRNA from 1 species